rnacentral:rRNA from 1 species
UACGGGGGGGAGCAAGCGUUUGUUCGGAUUUACUGGGCGUAAAGGGCGCGUAGGCGGUCAGCACAAGUCAGUUGUGAAAUCUCCGGGCUUAACCCGGAAAGGUCAACUGAUACUGUGCGACUAGAGUGCGGAAGGGGCAACUGGAAUUCUCGGUGUAGCGGUGAAAUGCGUAGAUAUCGAGAGGAACACCUGCGGCGAAGGCGGGUUGCUGGGCUGAUACUGACGCUGAGGCGCGAAAGCCAGGGGAGCGAACGGGG